rnacentral:rRNA from 1 species
AGCGAACGCUGGCGGCAGGCCUAACACAUGCAAGUCGAACGAACUCUUCGGAGUUAGUGGCGGACGGGUGAGUAACACGUGGGAACGUGCCUUUUGGUUCGGAAUAACUCAGGGAAACUUGUGCUAAUACCGAAUGUGCCCUUCGGGGGAAAGAUUUAUCGCCAUUAGAGCGGCCCGCGUCUGAUUAGCUAGUUGGUGAGGUAACGGCUCACCAAGGCGACGAUCAGUAGCUGGUCUGAGAGGAUGACCAGCCACACUGGGACUGAGACACGGCCCAGACUCCUACGGGAGGCAGCAGUGGGGAAUCUUGCGCAAUGGGCGAAAGCCUGACGCAGCCAUGCCGCGUGAAUGAUGAAGGUCUUAGGAUUGUAAAAUUCUUUCACCGGGGACGAUAAUGACGGUACCCGGAGAAGAAGACCCGGCUAACUUCGUG